UACGGGGGGGGCAAGCGUUGUUCGGAAUUACUGGGCGUAAAGGGCUCGUAGGUGGCCAACUAAGUCGGACGUGAAAUCCCUCGGCUUAACCGGGGAACUGCGUCCGAUACUGGUUGGCUUGAGUUUGGGAGAGGGAUGCGGAAUUCCAGGUGUAGCGGUGAAAUGCGUAGAGAUCCGGAAGAACACCAAUGGCGAAGGCAGCUCGCUGGGACGUGACUGACGCUGAGACGCGAAAGCGUGGGGAGCAAACAGG
rnacentral:rRNA from 1 species